rnacentral:rRNA from 1 species
AUUGAACGCUGGCGGCAGGCCUAACACAUGCAAGUCGAGCGGAUGAAGGGAGCUUGCGCCUGGAUUCAGCGGCGGACGGGUGAGUAAUGCCUAGGAAUCUGCCGGGUAGUGGGGGAUAACGUCCGGAAACGGGCGCUAAUACCGCAUACGUCCUGAGGGAGAAAGUGGGGGAUCUUCGGACCUCACGCUAUCAGAUGAGCCUAGGUCGGAUUAGCUAGUUGGUGGGGUAAAGGCCUACCAAGGCGACGAUCCGUAACUGGUCUGAGAGGAUGAUCAGUCACACUGGAACUGAGACACGGUCCCGACUCCUACGGGAGGCAGCAGUGUGGAAUAUUGGACAAUGGGCGAAAGCCUGAUCCAGCCAUGCCGCGUGUGUGAAGAAGGUCUUCGGAUUGUAAAGCACUUUAAGUUGGGAGGAAGGGCAGUAAGUUAAUACCUUGCUGUUUUGACGUUACCAACAGAAUAAGCACCGGCUAACUUCGUG